rnacentral:rRNA from 1 species
ACGCUCGACACCUACGGGGGCAGCAGUGAGGAAUAUUGGUCAAUGGGCGCUAGCCUGAACCAGCCAAGUAGCGUGAAGGAUGAAGGCUCUAUGGGUCGUAAACUUCUUUUAUAUAAGAAUAAAGUGCAGUAUGUAUACUGUUUUGUAUGUAUUAUAUGAAUAAGGAUCGGCUAACUCCGUGCCAGCAGCCACGGUAAUCUGAGCGGGCUGGCAAGGC